ensembl:snRNA U2 U2 spliceosomal RNA
UUCGCUUUAAUAAUUUUAAAUGUGUUAUCACUUUAAUAUCUGAUACGUCCUCUGAGGACUGUAUAUUAAAUGGAUUUUUGGAACAGGAGCUUGCUCCAUCCACUCCACGCAUUGACCUGGUAUUGCAGUACCUCCAGGAACGGUGCACCUCCC